AGAUGGGUUCAGUGGGCAGACCCUCUUCUGGUCUUUAGUUGUAGCAUUAAAAGAAGAAGCUGGCACAAUUUUUGCACAGAGAUUUUUGCAAGGACUUCAUAAGCAUUACAUGUUUUAUUUGCUGAAAUUCAAAAUUUCUCUUUCUGGGAAAGGUGCAGAUGGAUCUUGAUGCAACGUACUAGAAAAGAGUGGAUAAGAGUCACAGCUUGCUAUUUUCAGAUCUUUGCAAGAGAGAGGUAAAUAUCAUUAAACGUGUGGGGUCAAGAUUCUUUAGGCCUAUAACAGGAAAUCUAGCCAAGGAUCUCUGAAAACACAAUUUCAAAUAGCUAAUUUCUCUUCUAUAUUUCUUGUAUUAUAGAUAGAAUUUUUUAAAAAACACUAAAAUCCAUUUUUAUGCCUAUAUAAAGCUUAUCUGAAAAGUUGUGUUUAGGAAACUUUUCCAAGCACUAACUAAAAAGAGAUCCCUGGAUACGUUAAAAUUUCAAUGUUAUAUGCUUUCUUUAUCCCCCAUUAUUGAGAAAAAGUCAGGAGUAACUGAGUGGAAGACAAAGAAAAAACACUGUGACGAGGAAGGCAUGGAAAGAAGACGAGUGAACAAUCUUCUCUGAAAGAGAUACAUUUUUGAAAAGGAAGAGUAGCAGAAGCCAUUUGACAUUUUCUGGAUUUUUCAAUGAGUGUAGCUUCCAGAAAUUAUGCAGGUGGGAGAGUGGUUGUGGCAGAUUCAAACUCCCAUGGCCAGGAGCAGCCAGAGAUGGAAGGGCAUUUGCUGCAGGAUCCCUCGCCUGAGGCAGCUCCAGACCCUUGCCUUCCAGACGCCCAGCCCAGCAUGUAGGCUACUGGAUCAUACUUUGUUCUUCCCCUGGCCGCAGGGACUCCAUUGUCCGUGGGAGCACAAAAGCCCACACAUCCUGCCCUUCAGAAGCAAGAGCCUCUACAAGCUGAGAGAAGCGGAAAGAACAAGAUAGAUGCUGAUAUAGAAGCCAAGAUCCUGCACCCUUGGGCCACGUCCCGACGAAGAAACACUUCAGACGAAGUGCAUGUAAUAUGCAGACUAGAAGAUAUGUGUGCAAUUGCAGAUGAAGCUUACUGACCAAGGGACACCAGGAGGGACACGAAAACCUAGAGAACUAAGUGGGCAAGAUGCCCAGGCAGCGGACAGAAGACAGAGAUGAACAAAAUCCAAAGAGCCACCUGGGGAACAGAUGGGGACCGGGCACCAGAAUACUCUUCCCAAAUCAAAUGAAAAUCAGGAAGCCUGUCCAAAGAUUUGAGGGACAGGGAGAGUGAGCAACGCAGAGGGAAUCAUGACCAAUAAGCUCCUUUCCCGAAGAACGUGGCUAAAGCAGGUCCAGGCACAAUGGGGGUUCCUGUUAAAUGUUUAUAAUAUGUUCAACCAGUUCUAGUGGGAAAUCUCAAAGGAUACUACAAUUUUCAACCUUAAAAUACCCUUUUUCUUCAGUGGGUAUAUUUGUUUUUAAGAAGCCAAGUACAAUAAAAUAUUCAUCGUGGAGAGUUUUCA
rnacentral:lncRNA from 1 species